rnacentral:rRNA from 1 species
UACGUAGGGGGCGAGCGUUGUCCGGAGUUACUGGGCGUAAAGCGCUUGUAGGCGGUCCACCAAGUUUGGGGUGACAGUUGCCGACUUAAUCGGCAAAGUGCCUCAAAGACUGGCGGACUUGAGGGCCACAGAGGGACAUGGAACUCCAGGUGUAGUGGUGAAAUGCGUAGAUAUCUGGAAGAACACCAAAGGCGAAGGCAGUGUCCUGGGUGGUCGCUGACGCUGAGACACGAAAGCGUGGGUAGCAAACAGG